rnacentral:lncRNA from 1 species
CUAGUCUAUAACUACCAGUGGUACAGACUAUGUUAAUGGUUCAUUGGCAUUAACGAUUCGGCCUACGAUUUUUCAACUGACUAUCUUCCAUCCCGACACAGUAUGCUACCAAGUCGACGAAACCUGUAUAGCGAGGAUUUUAAUAAUUUGAACUCUAGCUAAUUCUAGAGCUAUUUAGCAUGCUGUUGUAUUUAGUCAAAUAAGGAUGAUCUUGAUCAUUGGCUAGUCUGUAUUUGUACUGUACCUUGAGAAUGCGUGUUUACUUUUGGAUUAGGGACGGGGAAGUGACUCUGGGGGAGAAUAAUCUUAAAUGUUUGUGCCAUCAGCUGAUACUGUUCUUUUGUAUUGAUUCGACAAUAUCAGAAGGCCUUUUUCAAUCGCAGUUGUCACAUACUGUAUAUAUACCCCCAGUAGGAUGCAUUUUGUAUCGUCCCUUUUCAAGAAGCCAAUCUGCAUAGUGCAUUCAUUGCUGUUUGUUUGUGUAGGAGUAGUUUGGUCCCAGGGUAGAAGCAGUAGAGAUGACCAGGGAUGGUCUCUUGAUAAGUGUGUGAAUUGUACCAUUUUCCUGUCCUGCUAAACAUUCAAAAUCUAACGAGUACUUUCGGGUGUCAAGGAAAAUGUAUGGAGUAAAGAGUACAUUAUUUUAUUUAGGAAUGUAGGGAAGUAAAAGUAAAAGUUGUCAAAUAUAAACUAGUAAAGUACAGAUACCCCCCAAAAAAAAAAAUUCUUCAGUACUUUACACCACCCUUCCAUAGGCACUCCUGUAGAUCUAAAAGAAUCGGAUACGUUUUACAAUAUGGCAAUUGCUUCACUUUGUGGGGGACGCGCAGCCCGGACCACCCCAAGUCCUCUAUUCAUUUGAAUGUGUUGAUAGUUGGAGGAAUAGCUUGAGCCACACUGAGAAUUUGAAAAAGUAUGAAAGUCAACGGUCCAAUAUUCUAGAACACUGCUGUGCGUACAAGCACACGUUUUGGACUCUUAUAGGCGCUUAAGUGCCUAAGGGUUGUGAAGGGCAUCACUGGUAUGUUGAUGCCCUUCACCCACCAGGAAUAAGAGUACAGAAGAGUUAAUUGAGUAUUCAGGCGAACUGCUGUAGAUUUAAGAUUACAGUAAAAGUUAUUGAAGACCUUACACAAACAAGAUGACUUGUGACAUAGCAAUAAGGAAGCAGUGCUGUCCAUGGUUUGCUUUGAAAUCAAGAACUUCCUCAAUGAGAAACAAACAGUGUUCAACAAUCUUGAUCAAUAUGAUGAUAUGUAUGCUGAAAAAUGAGUCCCAGUAUCUAAUAAUAGAAGUACGAAAUGUGUGGUAGUGAUGUAGGUGUAAGUAUUUCUAAAAUUAAUGACUGACGAUCCUGUUAUUUGAUUGUUUAUUUUCCCUAAAUCUGCCAUUUUCUUUCACCCAACAUGAUGCAAUGACACAGACGAACUGGCCAUCUAGCAUUUCGGGGCAAAUGCCAGAUGGGCCAGUCAAUUAUUUUGCCCAGUGGGCCUAUCUAACUUUGGUUUCUUACGCAAAAUGAUCAUCUGGCCAAUAAUGGGGGCCUCGAGGAACAUAAUGGGCCAGUAUGGGGGGCCUCAAGUAAUUAAUUAUUUUUUUUUAAUGUAGAAAUGCCUGGGCUGAUUUGUGGUCCCUUGAUACUGUAAAUGGGCUACAUUUACACCCUCCCACAUUGACUUAUUUUGGGGGGUUGAAUAAUCUGUAUGUAGCUUUUUGUCCUUUGAAUGAGGGGUAGACAAAUGUCAAAACAUGGCAAAAUUAUGCAUAGGCUUCUUUGUACUUUCAAUUGAAUAUUUGACCCUGUCGGUACAAUGACAAGGACAACUUGAGGCCAUUGUACUGCAGGUCAAGCAUUGGAAUGUAUUCUAAUAUAUAUUGAAAUAUGGACCACAACGUUUCUUUCAAAUAUGUUGGACGAAAUAGAGGACAAAUUAAUAGUUUAAUUUCAAGCCAAGGACUAGAUUCUUGAUUCCCUGUCCAACAUGUUUUAUAAACCUAUGCAGUUUCUGGUUUACCAUUCCUAAAACAUUUAUCAUUUGAAAUGGACAAUAUCAGAAGAUUGAGGAUUUUGUAAACAAUAUUUUCUCUUUUUUUGUGCAUAUCAGGAUUGGAUUGAAAUGGGUAUUGUGCCACUUUAUGUUAUCUUUAAAUGUGCAAUAAAUUAUAUUUCAAGAGCGUUUUCAUAUCUCAGUGUGUGUGUCCUUUUUAAUGGACUUUAUUGCAUUUCUGUGAAUGUGCCAGUUUUAGCCAGCUGGCUAAGUCUUGGUAUGUGUAUGUUGAAUGCACUGACUAAGUUGCUCUGGAUAAAUGACCAACAUUAUAAUUUAAAAUGCAAGUUAUUCUGAUUGUUGUAUUAUCCCA